GGAUACUCUGAAAGGUGAAACUGUAGAAGAGUGAAAGAAUGAGAACACAUAAUUGUAUUAAUUAAAACAUGAGACUAUUCACUCUGUUUGUAUUAUUGCAGCCCAUCAUUUCACAAUGUAUUGUAUUAUUUUGUAGAACAAUGUUUGGGUAGAUCGUAUCGUUUGUUGUUGACAAUAAUAUUUUUCUUGUUUGGCUUUGAUUGUAU
rnacentral:misc_RNA from 1 species